GAUUCCUCAACAAAUUCCGGUCAAACGAAGUGUCGAAGACGCUGCUGUCCUGUUCCAAUGUUCCGAGCUCGAUUCAAUUUCAAUUUCAAAGAUAUGGAAAAUAAUGGAAGCACUACUAGCAUUGUUUGAUGUAUAGUUGCAACUUGCAUCUUGAGUGGUUCAAGUGCAAUCAUGCCCCGUGCUACUGCUCAACGCUCCGAUAUUUGGGAAUACUUUGUGGUGAAAGAAGAUAACGGAGAAGUUCGCAAAGUAGAGUGCAAACAUUGCUCUCUCUGUUUUUGUUGCAGUAUGUUUAACUGUUUAAGACUUUAAGUGUUAAGACUGUUAAGACUUAAGACUUAAGACUGUUGCAGUUGUAGACUUGCAGUUGCAGUUGGCCAGUUCAGUUGCCAUAUGUUUAAGUGUUAAGACUGUUUUUGUUGGACUGU